GAACACUUGAUCAUUUCUAUUAUCCUCUCCAGACUGUCUCCUCACACCCAGGCAAGCCUAGGAGGAAGACUCUGGACAUUUGCAUGUAAUACACCAUUAUGAUAUAUUUGGUAGUCCAAUAUAACAUAUUCAGAAAGAUAAUUUUAUGCUGAAGUAGAGGAGAAGGAGUCCAGAGCUUAAGGUUAUCAUCAGUGCUGCAUGCCCGUGCCCCAGGCCUCCUCCCCUUCCCACAGUAUGGGAAUCUUUAAACUGCAUUGACCUUUUGUGCUUUCUUCUGCAGCUGUUCAAGAGCCACUGAGACUGCAAAUCCUGGAAAAUACUUCCCUCCUCGUAGCCAGGAAAAUGGGGACUUCAUUUAGUUUUGACACAGGUACCAAGAUAUUCCUGUGAUGUCCAUGUGCCACCAACAACCAGCUUGAGAAUCCCGGAUCUCUCAGAGGAGCCAGAAGCGUUGCUAAAACGAAGAGCCUCCCAGUUGAACACUUGCUCUCCAACCCUCCUGUGGAUGGCAGGGAGAUGCCGAGACCAUGAGCUAUUUCGCUGGGGUAAGAAAUUAGAUCUUUAAAAAUUAUCCAGUGUGACUAACCACCCACUCAGUCAUCUUGCUUUUGCUGAUGGGUUAGCUUUUGAAAUGUUAAAUAAAUUAUUUAAAGCGAUCUUGUCUAAAUUCCUUAAUAUCUCUGGCUGUUCCUGUCCUCUGUUAAGAAACAGUGGAAGAAUUGUUUCAAAUAUAUUUUGUAUUAUUUUUAUUUUAAUUUCUGGAUUAGCUAUGCCUUUACUUCAAAGUUUCUGGAAGCUGAAUGUGCGCCACUGGGAUACUCAGGUAAGUAUCUUGGUGAAGGCUGAAAUUCAAAAGCCAAAACAUUGUGCCUGCUUGCAGGACCCAACUGCAAGGGAUGAGCCCAACGCAGGCAGCUUCUGCUCUGGGCAGCCUCACCGGUUCCCAGCUCCCAUCUGAACCACCGUGGAGCUUCUGUUACACAACUGAACAUGUGGAGCAGCGCCACUGACGAACAAAUGAAUUCAUUAGUGCCCUUGAUGAGGAUUAUAUGAAGUACUGCCUGGAGUGCCCGGAAAAUUCUUUCCAGACAGUAUCUCUUUUCAAUGAAGAAAACGUGUGCAAGCAACUCGCCUGAAAAUCCCCGUUUGGGUGGGCGUUGGAGUGAGGAUUCAGGAGGAAGCGCUUGCUGCCGCGCAGGGGGGAGCUCAACAGCCCACUCUCCCUGAGAGCGAGUGGAAAGUGAGACACCAAAUGUCAGCUGAAAACGUCUGGCACCACUCUGUUGCAGCCCCAGCCUAAAUUCGUCCUGCAGCCACUCCAAAGUCCACCUGUACUCCGUGGCGAGGCACGGCUGCCUUACCCUAGAGACCGACAGACUCCCAGCAGCCAAGGCUCCUCCGAAAAUAGCACAGCAGCACAAGCACAAGCCAGCACCCAUUGCUGACACGUAUUAGCCAGGCUCAAAGAGAAAAGAAAGAAACACCACGUGGGCUGACAUCUUGCUCUGAACCAACAUCUUCUCCGUGUUCAGGUGCUCGCACCGGGCACAAUUCCUACCUGGGGCGCCGGUUUCGUUCAGGGAAGUCAAGCCCAGAGCAGGCUGUUGUCUCACCUCGUCUGACCUCCUCUGCUCCCCCACCACCCCAUUUCAUCCACCGACCCCUGCCCAGGCCGCGGGUGAAAGCAGCCACCACUGCUGUUUGAUGUGGGUGCCAUACACUCGGUUUGAGGACAUCAAGAGGUGACACACUGACCUCCAGCAGCUUCGUGGAGCAGCUCACCGCUGCCUGUGAUCGGCACCUGCCAGCUUCCCACUCUGUAGACUGGAAAGGUCUUCAGCUCCCCAUACCGUCCCUGUGUCAGCUGUCACAAGGUCACCUCUCAAUACUUUUGUGGAUAAAGUACACAGAGGGAGCUCUUUAAGGCCACCGCCACGGGGGCAGGGCUGGAGGCCAGCGAUCACUGCCACGGAUGUGAUUUAAUGAUGUGGGGCCGUAUUGUAGAGUUAUCAAAGCCCCGGGUAAAGGGACCCUUACAGUUUGUGCUUCCUUUUUUUGUUUCAGGAUUGAAUAAAUCUGCGUUAACCCCAUUCCUAGAAUAGAUUAAAUCCCUCUUUGUGCUAACUCAGCUAGUCUUUGGUUUUGGCAGGCCGCUGACGUUCCCUUCACUCAGAUCCCCCUGUCUAAGAGAGAUGCUGCUGUCCCCAUGGGAGCAGCUUCCUCCCCCUUUGGAAACCAGCCAUGGAAAGGAAUAAAGACGUAGUUUUUCUCCUGACGUAUGAUCUCCUUAGGCAGCUCAUGACAGAGUCCUUAGAGAACGAGUUAACCUUAUUAUUAUUUUAAUUCUGUGUUGAAACAAAGUUGGUGUCAGUUUAGAGAUUUGUGAGGUUCCCUCGUGCUGGAAGGCAGAGGGGUGGAUGCCGUACCCAUCACACACAGCGGGGCACGAGCAGAGCGGGGGUCACCCCCCUGUGACAAUUCCUCCCGAUGGCUCUGCUGCUGGCUCACUUUCCUUCCCAUCCGCCUCUCCUCAAGCUCCUCAUUAGUGCCAGAGCUGGAGGUGGUCAAAAACCGAUGGUGGGAACCAGACCAAGGCUCCUAUCUAUGUCUUCUCCCCUGAAAAAGCAUGCCUGAGAGUUGCAAAUUACUCUUUAAUACCAGAUUAAACAGAGCUAGAAAUACCAUUCCAGCAUGUGGAUGUUAGCAGCAGCAGAUGCUUCUUUAUAUGACAAAAUUGUGUUUCCUCCAGAGCAGGCAUCCAUAGACCUACAGAAUGGGGCAGAGGGUGGCUAGAGGGAUGCUGACAUAGGAAGCAUCUCUACAUCCAGCACUGUCUUCUGGGGCACAGGAGCCAGAUCAUCAGCCCCGUGCAGCACGUACAAACACAGCUUCUCCUUAGCAGCAAAACCAAACGGCAGCUAUUCAUAACUGUUCCUGCUCUAACGCAAAGCGACGCCGCAAUAUUGGUUAACUUAGUUAAGUGGUGAUUAAGGAACAAAACUCCCUGAACUUGACCAAGUGGUGUCCUGCUGUUUCUGCUUUGUGUGUUA